AGCAACGUCAAUGGAGGGAGGGAGGAGGGAAACUGAGUUCGAGGAAGAUGCGUCAUAGAACAGGUUUUAUUCUUGCAUGUGUGGGUACCUGUCAAGGAUUCACAAAAUUAAUUAUGUGAUUCAAAAGGAUGCUAGCUGUACGUCUAACCAAUAUUGGUGACACAUAGGAGACAAAAUUGGAUGCUCAAGUCUUGCCGCUGUGAUGUCAUUGCCAGAAAUGAAGUUGAGAAAAUCAGCGAAGCUGCCUUGUUUAUAGGAUAAUGGGUUCUGCUUAUCCACAAGCUUUGGUGCAGGCUUGUAUUGACCAUUGCUCAGUACUUCCAUUUGAUCUCCCAGUUGAACAAUUAAGCCCCCUUCUAUGACUGGGACAGAAUGCCAAUUUUUAUCCUGGUCCAGGAUUUGCAGCCCCUGUUGGUUCUGAACUAGGAUUGAUAGCAAGCUGUAAUCUGUGUGCGGUGGCAGGCCUAAUGCAAGUUCCGGUUCAGGACAUGCUGGAUAGUAGUUAACAGCCAUCACUUGGGAUCCCUCUUCAAUGUCUUCUUUUAAGUAAGUGGGGUGUAACCCUAAACUUUCAAAUAUUAGCUCCAUUAGCUUCUUUUGCAAUUCAUGCACUGCCUUUGCGUAAUUCCCUAUUUGCUCCCUGCAGCACAGUUCAAGAAAAUUAUUUACAUUAUAUUAAUGACCCUUCCUUAGCUUGAGGAUAAUUAUUAUAUGUUUGAGGAAAUAUAUGCUGUACUGAAAAUGUAUGUUUUCCUCAGCUCAUAUAUCUAAUUUCCUAAUGAAGCUAAGGUCUAAGGAUAGUUACGUUACAUUAAAGAAAAUGAUGGAAAGAAUAAUUACGCACUUGUAACAUGGAGGGUUUGAAGGCCACAAAUCAAUCCAAGCUGAGAUUGGAUUGCAGUAGUGUUUGAGGAAGUCUCUCCAAAAGUGAACUUUAUCUUUGACAUGAUUUAGGCUGGUGCCAUAUCUCACAGGUUUGUGAACAUUAUCAGACAUGAACUGCAUUUUCUCUUCACUUGGCAAAUUAAAGAAUGCAUUUGCAGCAUCUAAGGCACCAUUCACGACCGAAGGUGGGAUUUCAUGGUUAAUGACCUGCGGCCAUGCAUACAGUCUAUUUAUGUGCAGUGCUUUUCAUUGGUCAUGAAUUAUGAUAGCUUCAUGCAAUGCGCAUGCAUGUCAUAAUUUAUUAUGUGCAGAUCUAGUUAGUCAGUUGCCUAUACUAACACUCUGGAUGAAACUAAUUCAAUUCUCACAUCUACAAGACUACAUGCAUGCAUAACGUAUGUGACUUUUACACAAUGAGCUCAAAUUCCUGCCUUUCUUGGUGCUUGUAUUAUUCCAUCAUGGCACUUAUGAGAAAUUAGAACAUACUACUGCUCAAAUAAUCAUCUAAAAUUGCAUGCAUUGACAUGAAUGAUAGAUAAAAUGCUUAGACUUUUUUCUUAAUUUCUAGGAGAAGCAAUAGUUGUCUUACUCUCAUCCGUGUUACACACUUACAGUUACACUUCAGUGUAACAUGGACAUGUGAUGAUAUUGUAUGUACCUGGAAGAAACCUAGUUCCUUGCAGGCCAGACGUACUUCCUGGACCACCCGAGAGCGAAGCAGAGGAUGCUGCAAGGAGGAAAGAUCAAUGAUUGGCAAGUUAGAGGAGUUGGUGCUUAGGGUGCAGUUGGGGCGCUCUGAUGGCGGGAGAAUGUAACUUUUCGGGAGAUGACUUAACCCCCUUCCAGUAAGUGUUGUUGCACUCGUAAAUGAAGAAGCACUUGCUAAAGCAGAGCUCUCCAUCACUUACGGGGAGCUGCAUGCUUCCAUAAAUGAAAAUGCUAAUAUGAUAUUGCUACUUGAAGGAUGGGAAACGGGAAAUCACGGCUGAGGGCAACGGUGGGACCCGCAAGCCGCCGCACGAACUGGAAUCUGAAUGCAAAUCUGGGUCAGAGCCAACAUGCAAAUUCAACUGGACUUUAUAUCAGAGGUAUCCGGUCUCUGUACAUGAAACUAAGCAUAAACUCACUCUACGUAACACUUCAAAGUUUAUCCAUAUGCGAUACUUAUUUAUUUAAAUGUCUACUUGCAAUUUGUUAAA